rnacentral:rRNA from 1 species
CCUACGGGAGGCAGCAGUGGGGAAUAUUGGGCAAUGGGCGCAAGCCUGACCCAGCAACGCCGCGUGAAGGAAGACGGCUUUCGGGUUGUAAACUUCUUUUGACAGUGAAGAUCAGAACACUGUACCUGUCGAAUAAGCCACGGCUAACUACGGGCCAGCAGCCGCGGUAAUACGUAGGUGGCAAGCGUUGGCCGGAUUUACUGGGUGAAAAGGGCGUGUAGCCGGGCUGACAAGUCAGAUGUGAAAUCCGGGGGCUCAACCCGCGAACUGCAUUUGAAACUGUUGGUCUUGAGUAAAGGAGAGGCAGGCGGAAUUCCUGGUGUAGCGGUGAAAUGCGUAGAUAUCAGGAGGAACACCAGUGGCGAAGGCGGCCUGCUGGGCGACAACUGACGGUGAGGCGCGAAAGCGUGGGGAGCAAACAGGAUUAGAUACCCCAGUAGUC